rnacentral:rRNA from 1 species
GUUUCUGAGGUGUGGGAUGGUUUUACUCUAAAACUUACCUUCAACAGAUGUGUGGAGGCUGAGUUUAUGGAGAGAUGGCAUGAUUUGAUCCGAGUCAUAUCUAACAUGACCAUUACUAAUGAGGUGGACCAACCUAUUUGGGUGUUGGAAUCAUCAGGGAUUUACUCGGUCAAGUCCUUCUAUAACAUGAUUAACUGGGCUGGGGUUUCUACACCUAUUCGGAAAAAAUUCUAGAAAAUUGUUGUGCCCCACAGAUAUCUAGUUUUUCUGUGGUUAGCUUUCCAUAAUAAGACUCUUACUAGAGAUAAUCUGAAUAAAAGGAGGGUGGUUGUCGGCGUUCUGGGAACGGGGGUCCCCAGACUUGCCUGCCUGCGGCCCACAGCGUGGCCAAGCAGCAGGCCGUACGGCCCAUCUUCGUCAACAAGACACCCAAGACCCUCGCGAGGGUCCAAGCCUCGCGAGGUGGAUGACGCAAGACCUCCUCUGGAGUGGCCUAGCCAAGCAGGCUCACGAGGAGCGGAGAUAUCAAGGCGAGGCAAACCUCACGAGGCUCUCGUGACGUGA